rnacentral:ncRNA from 1 species
CAAAACGCGAUGACGCAAACUAGUACGCCUGAUUCCUGGCUCCAGAGAGCUGCCGGUUGCUGCGAGGCAGUGGAAGGGACGGGCCGAACUGCCUGCUGAGCGGCCGGACCGAAAUCUUGCAGUAGGUCUCUCCGGGAACUCCCGUUACAGAGCAUGGAUAUCGCCCACCGGCCGUAUCCGAGAGUGCGUCCCCAGGACGAAUCAGAGUGGUACCGCGGAAGGUCACAAACGCCUUUCGUCUCUCAG